AGUCCAUGUAUGUAUAUGGUCGGAACGUCUGGUAGCAUCUCUGGCUGCUGUUAACCUUGUUUUUGGAGUAAAACACGGUGGAAGCUGAAUUAGUGAGGAUGACUCCUGCUCCUGUCAUCUCUAAGCUCCUCACACAUCUUUACCUGCACAUGAGGAAAAUCACUCCUGUAGAAUGCAGAUGUUCAGAGGGAGAUGAUGCCACAUCUGGUCCAGCUGAUGGAAGGUCUUGAAGUUCUCUGACUGGCCUCGACUGAAGAUGGUCGUCUCACUGGAUUUAAGAUGCACAAUGAGGGACGUCUGCAGAGACUGAGAAAGAGUCUCACCACAUCCUGACAUGAGGAAAAAGACUUUAUUGAAGACUACAAUGAGAAAAACUAUCAGACAGCAGACGGCUGCAUUCAAGAGAGGAAGACCAUCAAACAUCCACGUCAGCUGAUGGAGGUCCAAGAGUCUCACCAAACAAACAACCUACAGAGUGAAGACCUCAAAUCUGAUUGGACGGCCUCCUGUUCAGCCACAUGUGUGAACAAAUGCCUCUAAGCUGAUUUGUUUUCUAAAAUAAAUCUAGUUUGAGUCCUAAUCUAUGCCUGUGUGUUUGCUUCUUUACACCGCUGUUAACAGUUUAGGCUGUUAGAUUGUUCCAGAUAAGACAAGUACAAGAUUCUUCAGAGCCGUUCUACCACAAGCCUGACAGGAAGAACUCCAACAGCUACUGAAUGUUCCUGUGGUUCCCUCAAGGCUACAGGAGGAGCCCUACGAGGACGAGCCGGUCCACCUGAUGGUGGCCAGUCGCUGCGGUUCAAAGCCAACACCGACUACGUGGACUUCUACUGGACCACACGGAGGCCUUCAAACCAGACCAACGAGUUCACCGACUCCCCGACUCGUGGGUCUGAGGAUGCCGCCGAGCCUCGGUCCAGCCAGCCUCCUGUCUGUGGGUGUUUGAGUGCUGAGAAGUUUGUGGAUGCAUGUGAACGUUCUGUGUUGAAACAGCAGCUUUGGACUCACUAACGCCAGGAAAAACCAAGAGCUCCUUUAUUUGUGACUUCCACUAAAAAACUGAAGAAAAUAAGUUUGUCAGGGUUCUGACUGAUAACAGAUUAUUAAAUAAU
ensembl:lncRNA